UUUCUUGUUGAGCUCAGAAGGUUUGUCUCAGCUACAAAUGUGCUGAUAUGGAUAGGGAGAUUCCAGCCUUAAUGGGUGUUUCGAAGGCUAUAUUGGAUAAUGUUAUAUUUGUGCACCAAGACGAAUCCAAUUGGCCGUUACAGGACCCGUCAACACUUAAGAAAAAGUUUGACGACAUCUUUUCUGCUACCCGCUAUACCAAAGCUCUCGAAGUCAUAAAGAAACUUCAGAAGGACCAAGCACAAGAAAUCAAGACUUUUAGGUUAAAGCUGGAGAACCUUCAAACUCUUAAAGAUCAAG